AAAUUGGGGCUACAUUGUACCGAGAGAAGGGCUCGAUUUCGAUACCUUUACUCUUGAAUUUGCCAAAAAAACGGCUGUAGCUAGAUUGAAUAAGAAGCUAUCUGGCCGGUGGUCGCGAGAGGGAUUUAGAUCUCUCCGGUCGAUUCAUCUGCUUACCGAGUUCUGUGCUCUCUUCAUGAACAGUUGUGUCUUAUUGGUACCUACAUAUGUAUUUUUUUUACAUUGAUCGCAUUUAACCAAAAGUAUAACAGUCGAUAAAGAUGAAAGUGAUUUAGUAUGGCCCU